UUAAGAGAGCAAUGGUUACUCAGGAGUAUAGGAGAGAGAGUAGUGGUCACUUAUUGCUAUAGCCCAACCAAGCCUUGGCUGCCCUAUGCUUAAAUAUACUUAAGAUGUGUGUAAAGACACACGUGUGUGUAUUGAGACAUGAUGUAAAAUGCAUUUCUUACUGUGAGUUGAGAUAAAAAUUUUUGAGGUUUCAUAAGCAGGUAAAAAGUGGUAUCUGAGCAAGCAAGUUGUGGGGAUGAAUAGGGGAGCUUGGAGCUCUAAAUUCUUGCACAGGAAGGGCCCAGGAGUUACUAUAGAUAGUAAGAGUAUAGACUCAUUCAGCACACAGUGUAAGGCCACCAAGAAGCUGAGUCCCAAUAGGAAAGAAAAGAAAGAUCCCAUCUUUCUCUUGUACAAAAUUAUGUUCUUUCCCCACUUAGAAGAGACAAAACAGCAGGGAUGGCUACAAAAUGGCAGGAUUACCCAGUCAGUGCAGCUGCUUAGUGCCACACUGCACUACUCCAGAGGGUGCUCUCACACAGACUGCAAUGUGAGUAGCUCCCCCUGGAGUUGAGCGGUGCACAACCCAAACAACCCUACCAGGCAACCAUAAGUAUAGUGAUUAAGAGCACAAGCUUUGGAGUCCAACAAACCCGGGGGCUUGUCUCAGACUGAAUCCCAGACUAUAUAACCUGGGGCAGGUUAUUUAGCCUCCUUGAACCUCAGUUUUCCAAACAGAAUAUGUUAUACAUCCCUAGGCUCUAUUUCAGUGUCUGGCAUUGAAUAACAAUAAAUAUGUGUUAAAUGAAUUGAGCUAAUACUAGUACCUGCCUAUAAGGUGCUGGUGAGGAGCAAAGAAAUUGACAUAUGAAAGGUUUUUAAUAUCUACAAAAGAUGACAGACUGAAAUAGUAACAUUCUCCAGGAUGGAAAGAUACAUGCCAGGUAGGAAUUGUUUGUUCAAAUUGCUAUUUUUUAAAAGCUAUAAGCUAUGGAGAGAACAACAGAUUUUUUUUUUUUAAUCCGGAUACGGUGGAACUCUGGUAGGAUGUGAACAGUUCUUGAAGCUUGAGAAUACAUUUGGAACAAAUAAAAAGUAGGAAAUGCAUACAUGUUAUUUACAGUUGUAGGGCAGGUAGGGGCAAAAUGUGUUGAUAAACUCAAAGAAUUUUAAGAAUGAUAUUGUCAUGAGCCAUGAGCCAUGGAAGCUGCAGAGUUUGGGCUCACUCCUGCCAUCGGGUGAGGGGUGUCAGCGGAAGGGGGUGUGUGUCCUUUCCUCUCCCAGUGUUUAUUUCCUAGUGGAACCGUGGUUUUGACGCAGUCAUGACAACUCUUCAUCCUUAUUAAAGUCACACAAUGAAGCAGGUCGCCCAAGAUUGAAAGCACGUUUCCAGGGCGGACUCCGGUUCCUGCCUUUGGCCAGCAAAAGUACAUUCUGGCAGGGAGGGAUCUCUGAGCCCCGAAGUGAGGUCAUGCCAGUUAGCAGUUAGAAAAGGAGGCAUUUCUCACACUUGCUAAUGAGUUUGACGCUUGUGAAAUAUAAACAGGAAGUGGGAGCUCUCCAAGGCGACCUGAAGGAAAUACACUCCCAGUUUGGUCAACUUGUGAAUGCCAGUUCUCUAGGUCGUCAAGGACACUGCCAGUUAAGACUGACUCCCUAACUGCACCCGAGGCUACUCUUCACCCAGUCUCAGCAGUGACCCCAUUUUUUUUUUCAAUCCUUCCCACUGCCAGGUCACUCAGCAGCGCGGUGACUGACCCAAAGCGCAGUGGGAAAGGCUUACAGUCAUCUCUCAACUCCCCGAACUUGCAGGGCAGGGGAGCGCAGAGGUCAGUGAAAUCCCCAGCCAGGCCUUAUUUUAGUCAUGAGUUUCCACUGGCUCCCUCCUCUGACUGUAUCAGCGCUGCUCACAACGCGGGAUUGGAGUUUCAGCUGUUUUCCCUGCUCCAGGCUGAGUGAGAAGGUCACAGAGCCCGGACUUUUCCGGGGGAGACCGCAAACAGCGCCGCCGAAGUUCUCAACAGGCAGGGAGAGGGCCGAUCCGGGUUGGCACACCACGUCCCCGGGGUCUCAGUCCCUGGGUCAACGCAGAGGGGCUCGCGGUCCGCGGCGCUGCGACCUGAGCCCCGGCCACGUGAAGCGUCACGCCCUGCGCUGCUGCAGGGCAGGCGCCGCCGCCGCGGUUGUGUAACGCUGCAGCCGGAGGGGAGGCGACCCGGGCGCCUCUGCUCUGGAGGGGGCAGAGGAGGGAGGGAACACCGGGCACCGUGCCCGGUAUCUUUCUGUGCUUGACUGGCCGGGAGGAAGGGGGUGACACUGGGGCACCCAGGGGGCUGCGCAACCAGGUGCCCGCCCGCCCGCAGGCUGUGCCCGGGAGCGGAGCUCCUGGGGAGCGAGGGGCCCUCGGCUCACACCCUCCUCGGUCAGGUGCGCGCGGCGUGCUCGCCGGCAGCCUCAGCUGCCCCUGCGCUUGGCUGUCUGCCCGCUUCCCAUGGGGUGACAUCCGCCCCGCCCCUCGGUCCCUCCCCAAGGCGGGCAAUUCCUGGACGCGAGGGUGAGCAGUGGGGGCAGGGAAGCCAGGACGGAAAGAAACCCCAGCCUCUGGGGAAGGCUGGGGGGCCGGGCGACUCCCUCCGCUGCGCGCCGGUUCCUCCAAGCGGGCCGGGCGGGGGAGGAGGAAGAGGGCUGGGCUGGAGCUAGCAAGGGGAUAUUCCUCUCCCGGCUUGAGUCAGACGCGGGCGGAUCCGUCCUCCCCCGUUCCCUCCCAGGAGACGGGAACUUACUUCAUUUCCCUGGGGCAGGUUCGCCCACGUUACCAACUCUCCCCCUCCCCCAGCACCCCCGUCCCUUCCAGCUUCCGCGCCCCCCACCCAACUGGGCAGGACCCAGGUUGCGCUGCCACCCCCUCUUCGGGGAAAGGCGGCCGCAGCCGCAGACACCUGGGGGCCGGGGCUGGGGGUGGGGGCUCCCUAGCAGCCGCCGGAGCGUUGUCCAACACGUGAGACUCAUGUGAUGAAGCCGGGGGAGGGCGGGCAGGUCGCUCCUUCCCUCCCCGGCAGUGGCCAGACGUGCCUGGAGUCACAGGGUAGAACACGUAGCUCCAACCCACCCACUCGCUCCCAUUUAACCCAGCCCGCAGCCUCUCCAUUACUCCUCGGCUUGUGCCCCCACCCCCCCCCCUCCGCCCU